rnacentral:rRNA from 1 species
AUUGAACGCUGGCGGCAUGCUUUACACAUGCAAGUCGAACGGUAACAGGCCUUCGGGUGCUGACGAGUGGCGAACGGGUGAGUAAUGCAUCGGAACGUGCCCAGAGGUGGGGGAUAACGCAGCGAAAGCUGUGCUAAUACCGCAUGUGAUCUGAGGAUGAAAGCGGGGGACCAGGCAGCAAUGUUUGGCCUCGCGCCUUUGGAGCGGCCGAUGUCAGAUUAGGUAGUUGGUGGGGUAAAGGCCUACCAAGCCGCCGAUCUGUAGCUGGUCUGAGAGGACGACCGGCCACACUGGGACUGAGACACGGCCCAGACUCCUGCGGGAGGCAGCAGUGGGGAAUUUUGGACAAUGGGCGCAAGCCUGAUCCAGCAAUGCCGCGUGCGGGAAGAAGGCCUUCGGGUUGUAAACCGCUUUUGUACGGAACGAAAAGGCUCUGGCUAAUACCUGGGGCUGAUGACGGUACCGGAAGAAUAAGCACCGGCUAACUACGUG